GGGCCCGCACAAGCGGUGGAGUAUGUGGUUUAAUUCGAUGCAACGCGAAGAACCUUACCAGGGUUUGACAUCCUGCGAAUCUCUUGGAAACAGGAGAGUGCCUUCGGGAACGCAGUGACAGGUGGUGCAUGGCUGUCGUCAGCUCGUGUCGUGAGAUGUUGGGUUAAGUCCCGCAACGAGCGCAACCCACGUCUUUAGUUGCCAGCAUUUAGUUGGGGACUCAUAGGAGACUGCCGGUGAUAAACCGGAGGAAGGUGUGGAUGACGUCAAGUCAUCAUGCCCCUUACAUCCUGGGCUACACACGUACUACAAUGCUACGGACAAAGGGCAGCAAGUUCGCGAGGACAAGCAAAUCCCAUAAACCGUGGCUC
rnacentral:rRNA from 1 species